rnacentral:rRNA from 1 species
GAUGAACGCUGGCGGCGUGCUUAACACAUGCAAGUCGAACGGAAAGGCCUCAGCUUGCUGGGGUACUCGAGUGGCGAACGGGUGAGUAACACGUGGGUGAUCUGCCCUGCACUUUGGGAUAAGCCCGGGAAACUGGGUCUAAUACCGAAUAUGACCACUUCUUGGAUGUUGUGGUGGAAAGCUUUUGCGGUGUGGGAUGAGCCUGCGGCCUAUCAGCUUGUUGGUGGGGUAAUGGCCUACCAAGGCGGCGACGGGUAUCCGGCCUGAGAGGGUGUACGGACACAUUGGGACUGAGAUACGGCCCAGACUCCUACGGGAGGCAGCAGUGGGGAAUAUUGCACAAUGGGCGCAAGCCUGAUGCAGCGACGCCGCGUGGGGGAUGAAGGCCUUCGGGUUGUAAACUCCUUUCGCUAUCGACGAAGCCACUUGUGGUGACGGUAGGUAGAUAAGAAGCACCGGCUAACUACGUGCCAGCCGCCGCAGUAAGAC